rnacentral:rRNA from 1 species
GACGAACGCUGGCGGCGUGCUUAACACAUGCAAGUCGAACGGUGAAGCUCCAGCUUGCUGGAGUGGAUCAGAGGCGAACGGGUGAGUAACACGUGAGCAACCUCCCCCUGACUUAGGAAUAAGCGCUGGAAACGGCGUCUAAUACUGGAUACGAGAAGGGUCCGCAUGGGCACUUUCUGGAAAGUUUUUCGGUUGGGGAUGGGCUCGCGGCCUAUCAGCUUGUUGGUGUGGUAAUGGCUCACCAAGGCGACGACGGGUAGCCGGCCUGAGAGGGCGACCGGCCACACUGGGACUGAGACACGGCCCAGACUCCUACGGGAGGCAGCAGUGGGGAAUAUUGCACAAUGGGCGAAAGCCUGAUGCAGCGACGCCGCGUGAGGGAUGACGGCCUUCGGGUUGUAAACCUCUUUCAGCAGGGAAGAAGCGAAAGUGACGGUACCUGCAGAAGAAGCACCGGCUAACUACGUG